UACGUAGGGGGCGAGCGUUGUCCGGAGUUACUGGGCGUAAAGCGCACGCAGGCGGUCUGUUAAGUUUGGAGUGACAGUUGGUGGCUCAACCACCAAAGUGCUUUGAAAACUGAUAGACUUGAGGGCUUCAGAGGGACACGGAAUUCCGGGUGGAGUGGUGAAAUGCGUUGAGAUCCGGAGGAACACCAAAGGCGAAGGCAGUGUCCUGGGGAGUACCUGACGCUCAGGUGCGAAAGCCAGGGGAGCGAACGGG
rnacentral:rRNA from 1 species